rnacentral:RNase_P_RNA from 1 species
CUAGUAAGUUGGGUGAUCGCUCCCCGCCCUCUAUGCUGUCUGAAACAAUAAUAACAAAAAUUCGGACCGCUUAGAGGGCGGGGGGAGGAAAGUCCGAACACUCUCAAGCACAUAAUGAAUUAUGCGCUUGAUAAAAAGAUAGCGGCUAACGGCCGUCCACCGUAAGGUGAGAGGUGCGAACAGUGACGCCGAGGCUCGAAAGGGCCGAGGCCCUUCACCUAAAACUUUAGGUGAAGGGAGUCCUAUAGUAAUAUAGGAGUGAAACGGCUAAAUCCUUAUCGGGUGCAAGAACAAGCCCAGAAGUUUGAGAAAUUCAUCUUGAACUUUGGGAUGAAAGUAGUUCGCACGAGCUAGAAAGUAAUUUCUGGCCCAGACAGAUGAUCAUCCCUUCGGCUCGGCUCCGCCUCGCCUCAGGGUAAACUUUCAAGAAAUUUAUCCUGAGCGAACGAAGUGAGCGAAGGACAAAAUUCGGCUUACAGGCUUACUAGGACA